GGUUGGAGCAACAUUUGAUUCCAGCAGCGUUCCAGCAGAUGGGGAUCCGUUUCUUUUUUGGGCAACAGGAACUUCUGGAGGUUUUUUUACAGGAGAAAAUUUCCCAUUAUAAAUAAAGCAUUUAAAUCUCCAGCAGUAAAACACUCAGAGAAUUCCAGUUUUGGGAGCAAGAAACCUUCCUCUUUAGAUUUAUCUCUGGGAAGGAGCUGUAAGCUCAAUCUCCCAACAGGAAGAGGUAUUCUUGUGUCAGGUUACACUUCCAGCAUCUGUUCUGUCACUGGCAGCAUGAUGACACUGUGCUGGCUGUGCCAAGUAUUUUCCUUCUGUAAUUCCUCCAAGAUUAUUAGAAAGAAGCUGCUGCAUCAUAUACAAAUACUUGAUUUUAUUUUGUGCUUGGUUUUGUCUAUUUCUGCUUCUCAGACCUUUACUACAGAGAGGAAAACUAGAACUGGAGUAACUCCAGCACCUGGGAUAUGUUUGAGAAAUGGAGAAACCUGUGUGAUGCAAGGACCUGCUGAAACUUCCCCCAUGCACCCAGAGGGAUGCUCUCUUGAGUUCCUCCCCUCUAUCAUUGUGAAAUCAUUCAUCUUCCAAAUUCUUUUUGUAGAUGACUGCUGAAUCAUGCACAGAAACUCUCAUAGAAGAGAGAGCAAAGACUUCCUCAGACAGUGCUCAGCAGUGAUGGAUGCUUGAAUGGACUUUCCUGGCUGCUACUGCAGAGAAGGCUCAGGACAUGUUUCCACAAGGAUGCUUCCCAAUGGUUCUACAAAUCCUGCUGUGCACCCCACCCAAAGCCCCACUGAGGAGGGUCACUGCUGAUGAGGGGGGGCACAGCUCCAGCUCCUUUGCUCCUGAGCACUUUCUGCUGCUGGCUUUGCCUCUCUACCUGCUGUUUAUAGUAAGUACUUGUCACAGAUGUAAGCUCAUUAAUCACCCCAAGCCAUGCUUCCCUGAUUCCAUUUAUAGCUCUAUUCCCUCUCUAUUCCUUUUCACAGCCCCCACCUUAGUCACCACUCCAUUCUCGGAACCUGGGCUUUGCUUUUAUUUAAGCUUGGAAUGCAUAAAGCAUGAAAAAAGAGGAAAAUUUGAAAAGGCAGACUAAUAUCACAACAAAGUGUAUGUGGGAUACAUUUAAUGUUAGACUACUUGGCCUAAAGUGUAUUGGCAGAAGACUGGCAGCAAAGCUGUUGCAUUAAGUGAAAUAGAGACCAUUUACCCUCAGAGGUUAAUAGGCACAGGACAGACAAACAGGAGCCCUUUCAUCCUCUUGGGAUUUCUUGUGUCCUGCCAGCAGCCGAGAUUGCUUUACUGCCCUUAGCACUGGUCAGUCCAGUGCUGACCUUGGCCACCAGCCUGGCUGGGAGUCCCAUGGGCAGCCCACAGGAGGAGGGGAAGGGUCAUGAAAUGCAAAAACUCUCUGCAG
rnacentral:lncRNA from 1 species